UACGUAGGGACCGAGCGUUGUCCGGAAUCAUUGGGCGUAAAGAGCGUGUAGGCGGCCAUUUAAGUCCUGCGUGAAAUCCUGCGGCUCAACCGCAGACGGUCGUGGGAAACUGGAUGGCUAGAGUGCGGGAGAGGAGAGUGGAAUUCCCGGUGUAGCGGUGAAAUGCGCAGAUAUCAGGAGGAACAUCAAUUGCGAAGGCAGCUCGCUGGGACGUAACUGACGCUGAGACGCGAAAGCGUGGGGAGCAAACAGG
rnacentral:rRNA from 1 species